UUCUCAGAUGUCCAAAACCUCAAAUACAUCACAAGUUAAAACACACAGUUAUGGCAGAAUGCAGUAUGGAGCUAUCUAUUUCUGUGUACAUACGAAAAAGACAUAAAUUGCUUUCUGUUUCAUUGCAGAUUCCUAUGGUAAGAUGAAACCUCUGAAAAGGCACACUUGUUCAUGACAACCAGAAAAGCUUCUACAAAUACAUUUUGAGGACAGAAACUGCAUAGCUAAAGAAUCUUGUAGUGACAAUUACAAGUAAUUUAGACAGUGUAGAGGAAAACCAACCAACCAGGCAAUUAGGAAAAAUUCAACUGAUAUGUAAAAUUUUUGUAGAAGAAAUCACUGGAGAAAGUCCAGAGGAAGGAAAGGAAGAAAGGAAUACAAUUCCAGAAGCCUUACCUUCAGGAAAACACUGGGAGUCUCUGUUGCUUGAAACAUGAAGGAUUUUUGAAUUUUUGCAUGCAAU
ensembl:lncRNA